rnacentral:rRNA from 1 species
GAUGAACGCUGGCGGCGUGCCUAAUACAUGCAAGUAGAACGCUGAAGGAGGAGCUUGCUCUUCUGGAUGAGUUGCGAACGGGUGAGUAACGCGUAGGUAACCUGCCUGGUAGCGGGGGAUAACUAUCGGAAACGAUAGCUAAUACCGCAUGACAACAGUUAUUGCAUGAUAACUGUUUAAAAGGGGCAACUGCUCCACUACCAGAUGGACCUGCGUUGUAUUAGCUAGUUGGUGAGGUAACGGCUCACCAAGGCGACGAUACAUAGCCGACCUGAGAGGGGGAUCGGCCACACUGGGACUGAGACACGGCCCAGACUCCUACGGGAGGCAGCAGUAGGGAAUCUUCGGCAAUGGACGGAAGUCUGACCGAGCAACGCCGCGUGAGUGAAGAAGGUUUUCGGAUCGUAAAGCUCUGUUGUAAGAGAAGAACGAGUGUGAGAGUGGAAAGUUCACACUGUGACGGUAUCUUACCAGAAAGGGACGGCUAACUACGUG